AUUGAACGCUGGCGGCAUGCCUAACACAUGCAAGUCGAACGAGACCUUCGGGUCUAGUGGCGCACGGGUGCGUAACGCGUGGGAAUCUGCCCUUGGGUUCGGAAUAACUUCGGGAAACUGAAGCUAAUACCGGAUGAUGACGUAAGUCCAAAGAUUUAUCGCCCAAGGAUGAGCCCGCGUAGGAUUAGCUAGUUGGUGAGGUAAAGGCUCACCAAGGCGACGAUCCUUAGCUGGUCUGAGAGGAUGACCAGCCACACUGGGACUGAGACACGGCCCAGACUCCUACGGGAGGCAGCAGUGGGGAAUUUUGGACAAUGGGCGCAAGCCUGAUCCAGCAAUGCCGCGUGCAGGAUGAAGG
rnacentral:rRNA from 1 species